rnacentral:rRNA from 1 species
UACGAAGGGGGCCAGCGUUGUUCGGAAUCACUGGGCGUAAAGCGCGCGUAGGCGGACCUGCAAGUCGGGGGUGAAAGCCCGAGGCUCAACCUCGGAACUGCCUUCGAUACUGCGGGUCUCGAGUCCGGGAGAGGUGAGUGGAAUUCCUAGUGUAGAGGUGAAAUUCGUAGAUAUUAGGAAGAACACCAGUGGCGAAGGCGGCUCACUGGCCCGGUACUGACGCUGAGGCGCGAAAGCGUGGGGAGCAAACAGG